rnacentral:rRNA from 1 species
UAGGGAAUCUUCCGCAAUGGACGAAAGUCUGACGGAGCAACGCCGCGUGAGUGAUGAAGUUUUUCGGAUCGUAAAGCUCUGUUGUUAGGGAAGAACAAGUACCGUUCGAAUAGGGCGGUACCUUGACGGUAAUUAAAAAGAAAGCAACGGCUAACUACGUGCCAGCAGCCGCGGUAAUACGUAGGUGGCAAGCGUUGUCCGGAAUUAUUGGGCGUAAAGGGCUCGCAGGCGGUUUCUUAAGUCUGAUGUGAAAGCCCCCGGCUCAACCGGGGAGGGUCAUUGGAAACUGGGGAACGUUAGUGCAGACUAGGAGCGUGUAAUUCCACGUGUAGCGGUGAAAUACGUAGAGAUGUAUAGGAACACCAGUGUCGAAUGCGACUCUCUGGUCUGUAACUGACGCUGAGGAGCGAAAGCGUGGGGAGCGAACA